GGCACCAAAUAUGCCUAUGUGCACAGACCAUGUCUCGGGAAGGGGGUGAGUGAGGGUGGAUACAGACUCCUUGGAACAAAAUCGACAAUCAUCCGACUCUGACACAUUCCAUAGUUUUAACGUUUUUCCCAUGGAGUUUUUCACCCUAU